UGAAAGAGCACCCGAAAUAAGAAAAUCUGGUUGAAAAGUAACUUAAUUACUAGUACAUUUUUUAUGGGAUAAUUACGGAGAAUGUCCACUCGGACAUCUUAUUUACCAAAAAAAAAUGGUCGCGCCACCUUCUUCCUCACUGGAAAUUUAAUUUACUGAAAAAAAUAGUCAAUUGGCCUUCUUCCUCUUCGCUAUUCGUCUCCUCCUUCUCCUUUUUCUUCUUUCUUCUUUCUUCUUCGUUACUUUUCCCUUUUUCUUUUAAAAAAAGUAAAAAUGGACGCACCCAAACGUGAAUCAUUUCAAGCAAAUUGUAAUCAAAAGACUCAAAAUGUCAAGAGGAGCUCAUAUCUAAGAUUUUAGAUUGUUUAGAGAAGAUUUUGAGUUGGUCGAGAUUGAAAAAAUUUGCAAAUCAAGUUCUUUAAUGGCUAUAGAUUGUGCUCCAUUGAUGACAAGGAAAAAAUGGCUAAAAGGCAGAAGGGGUCAGACGGAUGUUCUUCCCUGCGCUGUUUUUGCAUAUUAAAGAGUUCCUCGUGAAAUGAGGUUGUAAUUACUUUUUAAAAAAAUAAGGUGAUGCCAUUGUGCUACCUCCAUCAGUAUGCUAGUUGUGAGCGCCAAUAGUUUAGACCCAACUGUUGCAUAAUUUGUGGUUGCUAGUAAUUCCUUGUAAUCUUUUUCCUUUACGUUUGUUCCAAUGAUUGAUUAUUA
rnacentral:lncRNA from 1 species